rnacentral:rRNA from 1 species
GAUGAACGCUAGCUACAGGCUUAACACAUGCAAGUCGAGGGGUAGCAGGGUAGCAAUACCGCUGACGACCGGCGCACGGGUGAGUAACACGUAUCCAACCUACCAUUCACACGGGGAUAGCCUUUCGAAAGAAAGAUUAAUACCCGAUAGUAUAGCGAGAGGGCAUCCUUUUGCUAUUAAAGAAUUUCGGUGGUUGAUGGGGAUGCGUUCCAUUAGAUUGUUGGUGAGGUAACGGCUCACCAAGUCUUCGAUGGAUAGGGGUUCUGAGAGGAAGGUCCCCCACAUUGGAACUGAGACACGGUCCAAACUCCUACGGGAGGCAGCAGUGAGGAAUAUUGGUCAAUGGACGAGAGUCUGAACCAGCCAAGUAGUGUGAAGGAUGAAGGCCCUAUGGGCCGUAAACUUCUUUUAUAGGGGAAUAAAGUGCGGAACGUGUUCCGCUUUGUAUGUACCCUACGAAUAAGGAUCGGCUAACUCCGUGCCAGCAGCCGCGGUAA